ACCUAGGUGUCAAGCGUUAUCCGGAAUUACUGGGCGUAAAGGGUGCGCAGGCGGCGAUACAAGUCUGGCGUGAAAGCUUCUGGCUUAACUGGGAGAGGACGUUAGAAACUGUAUGGCUAGAGUGAAUGAGAGGGAGGCGGAAAUCCCGGUGUAGUGGUGGAAUGCGUAGAUAUCGGGAAGAACACCAGAGGCGAAGGCGGCCUCCUGGCAUUUUACUGACGCUGAGGCACGAAAGCGUGGGUAGCGAACGGG
rnacentral:rRNA from 1 species